rnacentral:lncRNA from 1 species
CCCAUAGGGUCUGCGGCAAUGCUGCUGGUCAAACGGCAAAUGGAUGGAACUUGAAGAUAUCAACCUGAGUGAGGAGACUCCAUCACAAAAGAAUACACAAGAUGGAGAAUUCUCAAGCUAUAAGUUCAGCACCAUGUCUGCUUCCAUGCAGGCAGGCUUUCAGUCAUGAUCACCGUGGACUAAAACUCUGAAACUAAAAUGUGAAAAUACACAUGAAGAAAAGACAGAGCCCUCAAAGAAGUGAUAAUGAGAAACUGGACAUCUACUUGUAAAGAAUAAAUCAGAUCUCUAUCUUUAACCUUGUAUAGAAAACAAUUCAACAUGAAGUAAAGACCUUAAUGUUAAGAUCUGGAACUCUGAAACUCUUAGAGAAAAAAAGGGGAGAAAAAUUUCAAGGUAUAGGCAUGAUCAAG